rnacentral:rRNA from 1 species
UACGUAGGUGGCAAGCGUUACUCGGAUUCACUAGGCGUAAAGCGCAGGUAGGCGGCUCGAUAAGUCUUUUGUGAAAGCUCCCGGCUUAACUGGGAGAGGCCAAGGGAAACUAUCGGGCUAGAGUGUGGUAGGGGAUACCGGAAUUCCUGGUGUAGCGGUGAAAUGCGUAGAUAUCAGGAGGAACACCGGUGGCGAAGGCGGCCCUCUGGACGGAUACUGACGCUGAGACGCGACAGCGUGGGGAGCAAAC